rnacentral:rRNA from 1 species
CCUACGGGGCGCAGCAGUGAGGAAUAUUGGUCAAUGGACGGAAGUCUGAACCAGCCAUGCCGCGUGCAGGAAGACGGCUCUAUGAGUUGUAAACUGCUUUUGUAUAAGGGUAAACCUGAAUACGUGUAUUCAGCUGAAUGUACUCUACGAAUAAGGAUCGGCUAACUUCGUGCCAGCAGCCGCGGUAAUACGGAGGAUCCACGCGUUAUCCGGAUUUAUUGGGUUUAAAGGGUGCGUAGGCGGAUUGAUAAGUUAGAGGUGAAAUGUUCGGGCUUAACUCGGGAACUGCCUCUAAUACUGUUGGUCUAGAGAGUAGAUGCGGUAGGCGGAAUGUAUGGUGUAGCGGUGAAAUGCUUAGAGAUCAUACAGAACACCGAUUGCGAAGGCAGCUUACCAAGCUAUAUCUGACGUUGAGGCACGAAAGCGUGGGGAGCAAACAGGAUUAGAUACCCCUGUAGUC